rnacentral:rRNA from 1 species
AGUGAACGCUGGCGGUAGGCCUAACACAUGCAGGUCGAACGGCAGCACAGUAAGAGCUUGCUCUUACGGGUGGCGAGUGGCGGACGGGUGAGGAAUACAUCGGAAUCUACUUUUUCGUGGGGGAUAACGUAGGGAAACUUACGCUAAUACCGCAUACGACCUACGGGUGAAAGCAGGGGAUCUUCGGACCUUGCGCGAUUGAAUGAGCCGAUGUCGGAUUAGCUAGUUGGCGGGGUAAAGGCCCACCAAGGCGACGAUCCGUAGCUGGUCUGAGAGGAGGAUCAGCCACACUGGAACUGAGACACGGUCCAGACUCCUACGGGAGGCAGCAGUGGGGAAUAUCGGACAAUGGGCGCAAGCCUGAUACAGCCAUACCGCGUGGGUGAAGAAGGCCUUCGGGUUGUAAAGCCCUUUUGUGGGGAAAGAAAAGCAGCAGGUUAAUACCCCGCUGUUCUGACGGUACCCAAAGAAUAAGCACCGGCUAACUUCGUG